GGGGGAUUAGCUCAGCUGGCUAGAGCGCCUGCCUUGCACGCAGGAGGACCAUCGGUCUGGACUCUGAUAUUCUCCA
rnacentral:tRNA from 1 species